AAGUCGUAACAAGGUUUCCGUAGGUGAACCUGCGGAAGGAUCAUUAGCGAGAGCCUGCCACCGAUGAUAUGAGUCGGUGCGCAAGCGCGCCAUCCUUGUGUUGUGUGUCUGGUGUUGUGUGUGUGCGCAUGCGCUUGCUGCGCGUGUGCACAUGCGCGCAUUUUUCUCACUCUAUUCAUUCGUGUCUAAUCAUCAUGCCCGCAUGGGCACAAACAACCGAAAACUGCCAGCAAUGGAUCACUCGGUUCUC
rnacentral:misc_RNA from 1 species